rnacentral:rRNA from 1 species
UACGGAGGGUGCAAGCGUUAAUCGGAAUUACUGGGCGUAAAGCGCGCGUAGGCGGCUGGAUAAGUCGAUUGUGAAAGCCUUGGGCUCAACCUGAGAAUUGCAGUCGAGACUGUUCGGCUAGAGUGUGGGAGAGGGUGGUGGAAUUCCCGGUGUAGCGGUGAAAUGCGUAGAUAUCGGGAGGAACAUCAGUGGCGAAGGCGACCACCUGGCCCUACACUGACGCUGAGGUGCGAAAGCGUGGGUAGCAAACAGG